rnacentral:rRNA from 1 species
UGGAAUUCGCCCUUGGAUUAGGCAUGCAAGUCGAACGAGAUCCUUAUUUCGGUAAGGUGAGAGUGGCGAAAGGGAGAGUAAUGCAUAGACAACCAACCCUUGACACCGGGAUAGCUGGGGGAAACCCCAGAUAAUACCGGAUAGGCUCGCGGGGGCUCCUGCUCCUGCGAGUAAAAGAGGCCUCUUAACAAUGCUCCUGGUUGAGGACGGGUUUAUGUCCUAUCAGCUUGUUGGUGGGGUAAUGGCCUACCAAAUCCCACUUCGGUGGGGGGCGAUGACGGGUAGCCGGCCUGAGAGGGUGUUCGGCCUCACUGGGACUGAGACACUGCCCAGACUCCUACGGGAGGCUGCAGUCGAGAAUCUUCCGCAAUGGGGGAAACCCUGACGGAGCGACGCCGCGUGUAGGAUGAAGGCCUUCGGGUUGUAAACUACUGUCACAGGUUAGGAAAGGGUCGGGCGUCAAUAGUGUCCGGCUUUGACAAAGGCCUGAGAGGAAGCCACGGCUAACUUCGUGCCAGCAGCCGCGGUAAGACGAAGGUGGCAACCGUUGUUCGGAAUCACUGGGCAUAAAGAGCACGUAGGCGGGUGAGUAAGUCGGGUGUGAAAUCCCUCGGCCCAACCGAGGAACUGCGCCCGAAACUGCUCGCCUUGAGGACUGGAGGGGAGUGUGGAAUCCCUGGUGGAGCGGUGAAAUGCGUUGAUAUCAGGGGGAACACCGGCGGCGAAGGCGGCACUCUGGCCAGUUUCUGACGCUGAGGUGCGAAAGCUAGGGUAGCAAACGGGAUUAGAUACCCCGGUAGUCCUAGCCGUAAACGAUGGGCACUAAGUAGAGGGAAGGGCGAAUUCUGCAGAUAUCCAUCACACUGGCGGCCGCUCGAGCAUGCAUCUAGA